rnacentral:rRNA from 1 species
UACGGAGGGUGCAAACGUUGCUCGGAAUCAUUGGGCGUAAAGCGCACGUAGGCGGCCUGAUAAGUCGGGUGUGAAAGCCCUGGGCUCAACCCAGGAAGUGCACUCGAAACUGUCAGGCUUGAAUAUGGAAGAGGGUCGCGGAAUUCCCGGUGUAGAGGUGAAAUUCGUAGAUAUCGGGAGGAACACCAGUGGCGAAGGCGGCGACCUGGGCCAAUAUUGACGCUGAGAUGCGAAAGCGUGGGGAGUCAAACAGGAUUAAGAUACCCCGGGUAAGUCCAAG